UCUAACUAUGUGCAAGAGUGAGGGGUGAGACGGGGGGGGUAAGGGUGAGUCGGAAUAAGUGGGCGUAAAUCGCGCGUAGGGUGCGUUUGAAGUCUUGGGUGAAAUCCCGCAGGUCAACUGAGGAACAGCCUCGGAUACUGCAAGGCUUGAGGCCGGGAGAGGGUAGUGGAAUUCCCAGUGUAGCGGUGAAAUGCGUAGAUAUUGGGAGGAACACCGGUGGCGAAGGCGGCUACCUGGACCGGUUCUGACGCUGAUGCGCGAAAGCGUGGGGAGCAAACAGGAUUAGAUACCCGAGUAGUC
rnacentral:rRNA from 1 species